rnacentral:tRNA from 1 species
CGGGAUGUGGCCCAGCUUGGUUAGGGCGCCGCUCUGGGGGAGCGGAGAUCGGCGGUUCAAAUCCGCCCAUCCCGACCA